GUGGUUUAAUUUUCUGCAACAAUGCUUCCAAAUUAUGGACCAGUCACACAAACGAUUUUGGGCACAGCUUUUACCUGGGGUCUGACUGCAUUAGGUGCAGGAGUAAUUAUUUUCAUCAAAGGCUCUCAUAGAAAGUUUUUGGAUGCAAGUCUUGGCUUUGCCUCUGGAGUAAUGAUUGCUGCGUCCUUUUGGUCUUUGUUAGCUCCAGCCAUAGAGAUGGCCGAAAUUCUGGCUCCUAUGGAAAGAAUGGAGCUUUUGCAUUCGUUCCGGUAGCCAUCGGAUUUUCAUCGGCAGUCUAUUUGUAUUCCUUACUGACCACUGUAUAUCUAUGUUUGGCUUAUGCAGUGUUGGAAAUGUAAUCUCAAUGCAUAAAGAUCGCCAACGCAAAAAUACUCAGAAUUUCGAUUACAAUAGCGCUUACUCAAAGAAGUGUGAUUAUGAUGACACUACUACCAUCGAAGGAUUCUCUGCAUAUGCUUCUGAUGUGUACCGUCGAAAAACGGACAGGGAAGUUAAACCUGAGUACACCUCUGAAAAAUCUAAGAUUGAAGACAGUCACUGGAAAAGAAUUCUUCUACUUGUUAUUGCUAUCACAGUGCAUAAUAUACCAGAGGGUCUUGCAGUGGGAGUUGCAUUUGGCGCUGUAGGAUCUACACCAUCUGCCUCUUUUGAAAUGCAAGGUAGGUGAAUUCUCUCAUUUACUUAUGAGUUUUCUGGAUAUGCAACUUAUUGACUCCUUCCAAGAAAAGUCAUGCUGUGAUACUGUGAGUGCGCAUAAGUCUCGCUUUUUUCCUUGUUAUUAACGUGAUGCAAAAAAUUGUCUACAUUUUCACAGUAACUGUGCUUUUUUAAAAAAUUCCUAAAUGUCCUCAAUUUUUUUCAGAUAUUUAAGUCCUUGAUCGUCCUUAAAUUUGGAGUAAUUUUCUGAAC
rnacentral:lncRNA from 1 species